rnacentral:lncRNA from 1 species
UCAUAACAUACAGGGCUGGCUCUGAUACCAGUUGAAGAAAAAAUUUGUCCAAUCGCAUUGGAUGUCAGGAAGAUAGAAUAAAUUAAUAAUUAAAAUUUUCAUAAUAUUUAUGAAUUCACCUUGAUUUAUAGAAAAAAAAAUUAAGGUUGAAGAAGCUACUCAAAUAAUAUGCUUCACAAGAUCCGGAUGCACGGAUCCUCUACUUCGCGUGCACGCCAAAUGCUGUGAGAGAGAGGAAUGAACUCUUUUUUUAGAGAGGAAGGAGAAGAACACUUAAGAUCUGAUCUCAAGUCCUUGGAAUAGCCCACAUGCCACCACAAAGGGAGGGAGGAUGCCAAGAGGAGAGAGACAUCCAGUGCUGGGUGACGCCCAAG